GAUCCUGGCUUCAGGACGAACGCUGGCGGCGCGCCUAACACAUGCAAGUCGAACGAGUGAGAGAGAGCUUGCUUUCUCGAGCGAGUGGCGAACGGGUGAGUAACGCGUGAGGAACCUGCCUCAAAGAGGGGGACAACAGUUGGAAACGACUGCUAAUACCGCAUAAGCCCACGACCCGGCAUCGGGUAGAGGGAAAAGGAGCAAUCCGCUUUGAGAUGGCCUCGCGUCCGAUUAGCUAGUUGG
rnacentral:rRNA from 1 species